UGGGGAAUAUUGCACAAUGGGGGAAACCCUGAUGCAGCAACGCCGCGUGAAGGAAGACGGUCUUCGGAUUGUAAACUUUUGUUCUUGGUGAAGAAGAAUGACGGUAGCCAAGGAGGAAGCCACGGCUAACUACGUGCCAGCAGCCGCGGUAAUACGGAGGAUGCGAGCGUUAUCCGGAUUUAUUGGGUUUAAAGGGUGCGCAGGCGGCGUGCCAAGUCAGCGGUCAAAGUUCCGGGCUCAACCCGGUGAUGCCGUUGAAACUGGUGUGCUUGAGUGCGUGCGAGGGAGGCGGAAUGCGUUGUGUAGCGGUGAAAUGCAUAGAUAUGACGCAGAACUCCGAUUGCGAAGGCAGCUUUCCAGCACGCCACUGACGCUGAGGCACGAAAGCGUGGGGAUCGAACAGGAUUAGAUACCCUGGUAGU
rnacentral:rRNA from 1 species